rnacentral:tRNA from 2 species
GGGCCUCUAGCUCGAUGGGCAGACCACCGGACUUCUAAUCCGAUGGUCGCAGGUUCGAAUCCUGCCGGGUGCG